GACGAACGCUGGCGGCGUGCUUAACACAUGCAAGUCGAACGGAAAGGCCUGCUUUCCCUUGUGGAUUGCGGGUACUCGAGUGGCGAACGGGUGAGUAACACGUGAGUGAUCUGCCCCCAACUUGGGUAUAAGCCUGGGAAACUGGGUCUAAUUCCCGAUAGGACUGCAGGGUGGUGCCUGUGGUGGAAAACGAUUUUCUAGUGGUUGGGGAUGAGCUCGCGGCCUAUCAGCUUGUUGGUGGGGUAAUGGCCUACCAAGGCGGCGACGGGUAGCCGGCCUGAGAGGGUGGACGGCCACAUUGGGACUGAGAUACGGCCCAGACUCCUACGGGAGGCAGCAGUGGGGGAUAUUGCACAAUGGGCGGAAGCCUGAUGCAGCGACGCCGCGUGGGGGAUGACGGCCUUCGGGUUGUAAACUCCUUUCGACCGCGAGGAAGCCACCUGGUUGGAAGGGUGGUGACGGUAGUGGUAGAAGAAGCACCGGCUAACUACGUG
rnacentral:rRNA from 1 species